GUGGCCAACCACGUCAGUAAGUGGAUCUGGCGUCAUGUGACUUCCUGCUCUUCCCCAGAUUCAAGAAGACUAUGAAAGGGUUAUAUUUACGAGGUGUGAUGAACACUGCAGCAGCUGAUACCGACAGGUGCCAUCCAGUGCAAAGUGGGUCCAAGGAGGCGAUGGAGCCAGCUUUGGGGUCUGUAUCUGUUCCCUCACCUCUUCCGCUGGGGCACUACUCCCCUUCUUUGCUUCUCAGAUUCCCCAAACUAAGCAUCUUUGCUCUGCCAUGACAACUCCUCGUCGGAGUUAGCCUGCCAUGGACCAAACUCCCUGAAACCACGAG
rnacentral:lncRNA from 1 species